CCCGUGCAGGUUUAAAGGG
rnacentral:miRNA from 1 species